CUGGUGAGUAACGCGUGAGGAACCUGCCUUCCAGAGGGGGACAACAGUUGGAAACGACUGCUAAUACCGCAUGACACAUUUGAAUCGCAUGGUUUGAAUGUCAAAGAUUUAUCGCUGGAAGAUGGCCUCGCGUCUGAUUAGCUAGUAGGCGGGGUAACGGCCCACCUAGGCGACGAUCAGUAGCCGGACUGAGAGGUUGACCGGCCACAUUGGGACUGAGAUACGGCCCAGACUCCUACGGGAGGCAGCAG
rnacentral:rRNA from 1 species